UUUUGCAACAGUAUGCAUGACCAAUCCAAUACAGAACAUUUGUUCAGGAGUGGUCUUUCUACAAACAGCUUAAAAUGCCUUACAACAAUCAGUACUAGCAAGGUUCGUUUUACUGAUUGGGGGAAGCUGGUGCAUUGGGCUUGGAGUGGUUUUGUGUGCUGCUGUCUCAUGUCUCAUAGAAGAGCAAGAGUGGCUAGACAACAUGUGAAGAAGCACUACUCUAGAUUACCUCAGAUGGCAACUAUGUGCCCUGAACUGCUGUGAGGGUAUUUCUGGGGUCAUCAGCCAUCCCAUGGGGAAAUGAGUCAGCAAAAGCGAGCCUGAAGUUUUGUCCUUACCCUUUGCUGCCUGGCCACAGCACAGCUGCAUGCGGUGAAGGUGACGCAGUCAGAACUUGGCAAAAUAGAAGCUGUGCGUCAUUUAACUUACCUAGGUGAUUGAUGGAGCAGAAAAACUAACGACCCAUGAAGGAACAAAUAUUUCUCAAACAAAAGGUAAAUAAAUCUGAUAAUGGAGCUGUAAGGAUGGGUGAAAAUCAGAGGUUGUAAGUGCCCUUAAAUCCCCCUGAAACUGCAGCCUCAGACCUUCUGCAUGAAUUUCUAUGGGGAGAAGAAAAGCAAUAACUUUGGGAGUGUCGAAAGCUGUGAUGCAGAGAAAAUUAAUGUUUACAUCAUUUUUAAAUGCAUACAGUUUGUAAUACACAUUGAGAGCUAGCUGAGGACAAAAUUGCAAAAUGCAUUGUAUUGUAAGUGCAAUGGCUGCAGAGAGCCCCCGGGUCAUACUGACGGGAUGGCACAUCAGCUGGAUCCAACGGUGCCCUAAGAAUUCCUCAUCAAGGUGUGUUUAAACUCCGAGAAUACAAAAUCAUUUUCCAUUGAGUAUGAUAGCUACAUAGUCAUUUUUAGUGUUCUCUUUUCUCAUGCUAUUCGCUUUAUUGCUGUCCACCUUGGGAUUUCUGGUACUAUGGGAUUUCUUACUGGGCUGAUGCUUGGCCAAUAUUUGUCCGACUUCUCUUUUAUUUGUCUGCUGUGAAAACUGUCUGAAACUAAGCAGAAACUAACCUUAAUUUAUUUCUUUAAUAAACAAAAUUAAGAUACUGCAUAUUAAUAAAAAUGAAAAGUAUUCCCUUGCUGGUUUUCUUUUUUUUACUUUUUUUUUUUUUUUUAAGUUUCCCAAAACAGUCCCAUAUCUCUGUCAAAGUUAAUGUAACUAGAAUUUCCAUGGGAAUUUGUGUUGAUCUGGGGAAACUGGAACUGGCUAAUGGAAAUAACUAUAGCCCAUCCUCCAACUACUGUUCAAAUCACCUUGUGAGAGAGAAACGGGCUUUAUUUAAAAGCAAGUGUCAAAAUAUUUCUUGUGGACUACAGCUAGCAUGGGAUACAAAAACUUUACAGGAACAUUCUGUGGAAAACAGAGACAGAAAUGAGUCUAAUGACAAAUCAUGACUUAAGUUUCAUGAAACUCUAUAAAAAACCUGUUUUUUUGAGUUGUAUGGAGUCCAAAAUUAACAAAAAACACUACUAGGACAUCUCAUUCUUUUACAAUUUUAUGACUAACUUCCUUGAGAAGAUGCAAGAAAACGCUACAUAGGCAAAUAUUUUUACAGACUGACAUUUCUGUUUCCUUUAAUAAGCCUAAGAAUGUAAAAUACGUCUUUAAGAAGUACCUAGCCUGUUUGUUUCUGCUGAGAUGGCACCGGGAAUUAACUUCCCAGUCCCUUGAAAAAGUCCCCAAACAUCCAGAAAACAACCACCUUUGAUAACAAAACUCUCCAGCACCUUCUGCAUAUGGCAACUUAAUUUUACUGUCAGUAGAAGCUUCACAGCAUGAAAAUAAGUUAAUAUUAGGUGUUAAAUAUCGGUAAAUAUAAUAUUAAAUGAGUUCUCAUUGUAUGAAUAGAAUGUGUUUUAUCUAAUGGUACUAGGCAAACUCUAAUACGACUGCUAUUAUGGAAGGACACAAUAACACGCAAAAAGAUUGAGAAUACAUGAUUGGAAAUGUUUAUGAUUUUAAAGGAUAUUUCCAAAUAUGUCAUCACAAAGAGUUUAAUUAGUCAGAUAGUGAGAGCCUGUCUUUCCUUUGUAACUGUUUUUCAGUUCUACUCCUCAACCAGUGGCUAAGAAAUUCUGCACCAACAGAAGCUAGCAGCUUCCCCCUAGAAAGACAUACUGUUAGUUCAGAGGGACAACCACAUAUGAACUGGUACUAGCAUCCCCAGAUAGGAUAUUUGGCAGGAAAUCAUGAGCAUGGCAAUGUGAACAACAGGACAUUCAGAGCCAGGCAAUGGACAGCUGAAAACUGCACAGCAACGGCAAGAGUGUUAACAUUUGAAGCAAUGUAUGUCUAGUUGCUCUCAUUACAAUUUGGAAAAGAGGGUUAUAUCAGACUUUUCAGAAAGCUGGUGUUGGUUUUGGACCUUAAUUUGAUACAGGAUAACUAAGCUCAGUAUCAAGAAAUAGUAAGUAAUGGAGUACCCCACAUUAGAAGCAAUGAAUCAGCCACAGACAACACAAAAUAGGCUAUUCUCACAAAGAUAGUCUUGAGCCAAAAGACUGUAAAACAGGAAUGGAAAUCUGAGAGAUGAUUUUACAAAAGGUAUGGGCUUUCAGCCUCCGUAGGGCAGUAUAGAGUACUGCAGUUUCUGUGGCACUUCAAUGAGAUCAGAAAACCUCCUGAAAGGAUAAAUCCUGAAAACUGCCAUGAAAGUGAUCUUCGGUCCUCUUAGUACUGUCCCUUGUCUCAAGGCAGGAUCAACUUUACUUGAACUGUUCUUGAAAUAUGCUUGUCUAGCCUGCUAUUAAAAUUUCCAGCAAUGGAAAUAAUCCUAUCCUCCUAGGUAAAGACGGAGUUGACCUUCUCUCCUAAGUACAACAUUAUUUUGCAAUGUAAUCUAAUGGUCAUGCCUUCUAUAACGACCUGUUUUGUCAAAUUUACAUUUUCUAGACUGAGUUAUUUCAGUCUUUCCUCACAUGUCACUCUCAUCAGUCUCUUCUUGACUCUGUCCAAUUGCUCUACAUAAGCAGUUCUUCCAACUAGACACGCUUCAGCUGAGAUUCCAUCUCAUGCAGAAGAACUAUGAGUUACUUCAUGUCUUGGAUAUGACACUCCUGCUUAUAAAUGCCAGUGUAAUACCUUUUUUCACAACAAUAUGACAUUUCUGACACAUUCCCAAUUUGUGAUUGACUAUAAUCCUCAGGGUUCACUUUUCAGACCUACUGCCUAGUCAUCUAGCUGCUGCCUUGUCAUUGCUGUCUCAUCAUAAAAAGAGAAAUCCAGACAUUCGUGAAAGCAUCUGUACAAUCACUGAUAUUCUAAAAAAAAAAAAAAAAAAUAUAUUGUCAUGACUCGUCUUAAAGAGAGCUUGUCCUUCAGAUAGCAAAUAUUCUGGCUGAAGAACAAUCUGAACUUAUAAUCAGAAAAAGAAACAAGAACAGAUAUGUAUUCUGCAUGUUCAGUUGAAUAAAUUAGUGUGAUUUAGUUAAUUGACUGAAUGGCGUAUACUGUGGUUUCCCUCUCAAGGCUGUAUGAAGAUAAUGAGAUGUGGAGAAAAGCAACUGACCUAUAGUUUU